GUUGUGUCUGCUAGGAACGUCAGAAACUACGCCGCAUAAAGCCCCACUAAUAUGACUGCCUAAAACACGAGCUGAAUGAAAAUAACACCGAUACUUGUGUUAAUAUAGACGAGGGAGAUCCCAGAAAGCCUCAACCCCGCACGAGAACUCCAGUUCCAGGUUCUUAGCAAAAGAGCAAGGAUGGCCACUGCAUCUCUCUGGCUUUUCAUCACCACAUGACAGCUCAUUCUUACCCAUGUUCCCACCAGGAUGCUCUUGAUCGCAUUGUGACUCAGCCAAUGGAGACUUCAUCAGAAGACACACAAAUUCACCCUCCAGAAGUAGGAAUUAAAUAACUUUUUUUUAUUAA